AACCAUAGAAACCUGCGGAGUACCUGCGGAAGGAUCAUUACCGAGUUUACAACUCCCAAACCCCUGUGAACAUACCACUUGUUGCCUCGGCGGAUCAGCCCGCUCCCGGUAAAACGGGACGGCCCGCCAGAGGACCCCUAAACUCCGUUUCUAUAUGUAACUUCUGAGUAAAACCAUAAAUAAAUCAAAACUUUUAACAAUGGAUCU
rnacentral:misc_RNA from 1 species